rnacentral:tRNA from 1 species
CCUGGUGGCUCAGAGGGUAAAGCAUCUGCCUGCGAUGCAGGAGACCCGGGUUCGAUCCCUGGGUCAGGA